GUGAGGAAUAUUGGACAAUGGGCGCAAGCCUGAUCCAGCCAUGCCGCGUGCAGGAAGACGCAUCUAUGGUGUGUAAACUGCUUUUGUACGGGAAGAAACACUCCCUCGUGAGGGAGCUUGACGGUACCGUAAGAAUAAGGAUCGGCUAACUCCGUGCCAGCAGCCGCGGUAAUACGGAGGAUCCAAGCGUUAUCCGGAAUCAUUGGGUUUAAAGGGUCCGUAGGCGGUUUAAUAAGUCAGUGGUGAAAGCCCAUCGCUCAACGAUGGAACGGCCAUUGAUACUGUUAGACUUGAAUUACAAAGAAGUAACUAGAAUAUGUAGUGUAGCGGUGAAAUGCUUAGAUAUUACAUGGAAUACCAAUUGCGAAGGCAGGUUACUACUUGUGGAUUGACGCUGAUGGACGAAAGCGUGGGGAGCGAACAGGAUUAGAUACCCUGGUAGUCC
rnacentral:rRNA from 1 species